rnacentral:rRNA from 1 species
AUUGAACGCUGGCGGCAUGCUUUACACAUGCAAGUCGAACGGUAACAGGCCUUCGGGUGCUGACAAGUGGCGAACGGGUGAGUAAUGCAUCGGAACGUACCCAGAGGUGGGGGAUAACGCAGCGAAAGCUGUGCUAAUACCGCAUGUGAUCUGAGGAUGAAAGCGGGGGACCGAGCAGCAAUGUUUGGCCUCGCGCCUUUGGAGCGGCCGAUGUCGGAUUAGCUAGUUGGUGGGGUAAAGGCCUACCAAGGCGACGAUCCGUAGCUGGUCUGAGAGGACGACCAGCCACACUGGGACUGAGACACGGCCCAGACUCCUACGGGAGGCAGCAGUGGGGAAUUUUGGACAAUGGGCGCAAGCCUGACCCAGCAAUGCCGCGUGCGGGAAGAAGGCCUUCGGGUUGUAAACCGCUUUUGGAAGGAACGAAACGGUGUCCGCUAAUACCGGGCGCUAAUGACGGUACCUGCAGAAUAAGCACCGGCUAACUACGUG